UACGGGGGGUGCAAGCGUUGCUCGGAAUCACUGGGCGUAAAGCGUCCGCAGGCGGACCGAACAGUCGGUGGUGAAAGCCCAGGGCUCAACCCUGGAACUGCCAUCGAUACUGCCGGUCUUGAGUUCGGGAGAGGGAAGUGGAAUUCCUGGUGUAGAGGUGAAAUUCGUAGAUAUCAGGAGGAACACCGGUGGCGAAAGCGGCUUCCUGGCCCGAAACUGACGCUCAUGGACGAAAGCGUGGGGAGCAAACAGG
rnacentral:rRNA from 1 species